GAUGAACGCUGGCGGUAUGCUUUACACAUGCAAGUCGUACGGGAGUUUUUAACUCAAGUGGCGGACGGGUGAGUAACACGUAAGAAUUUGCCUUUAGGAGGGGGAUAACAACUGGAAACGGUUGCUAAUACCCCAUAUGCUUUCGAGUGAAAUGGAUUUUUCCGCCUAAAGAGAAGCUUGCGGCUGAUUAGCUUGUUGGUAGGGUAAUGGCCUACCAAGGCGACGAUCAGUAUCUGGUUUGAGAGGACGAUCAGACACACUGGAACUGAGACACGGUCCAGACUCCUACGGGAGGCAGCAGUGGGGAAUUUUCCGCAAUGGGCGAAAGCCUGACGGAGCAAUACCGCGUGAGGGAUGACGGCCUAUGGGUUGUAAACCUCUUUUUUCAGGGAGGAAUCAAUGACGUGUACCUGAAGAAUAAGCAUCGGCUAACUCCGUGCCAGCAGCCGCGGUAAGACGGAGGAUGCAAGUGUUAUCCGGAAUCACUGGGCGUAAAGCGUCUGUAGGUGGUCAAAUAAGUCAACUGUUAAAUCUUGAGGCUCAACCUCAAAAUCGCAGUCGAAACUAUUCGACUAGAGUAUAGUA
rnacentral:rRNA from 1 species